CUGUGCUAAAGCGGGGAGAUAGCGGUGCCCUGUAACCCUGAACCCGCUAUACAGGGGCUGAUAAUCUGCUGGAAGGCAUGCUGUUGUAAACCGAGGCAGAUUGAAAGGGCUAUGAAGGCAGGACCUCAAGCAAUACUUACUCUUGAACCCCGCGAGCUCCGGAAGGAAGCAACGGUAAAAGAGUCAGGUAUUUGGCUUGAGAAAAUCUUGCUGGAGCCUCGUAAAUCUGUACAGUUUGUAACAACAUGUCAACCGCAGAUGCACAG
rnacentral:SRP_RNA from 1 species